rnacentral:rRNA from 1 species
AUGUACAUGCCUACAACAUUGUGUUAAUGCAUAAUAUCCCAUUAGAACUACGCAGUUAAGCAUGAUCAGGAUAGAGUAGUACUAGGAUGGGUGACCACCAGGGAAGUCCUAGUAUUUUACAUA